GCAGAUUGAAUUGUUCGAAUAUUUAUCGCGUUGGAGUCAUUAUUGGAAAAUCAUUUGCACGCGUCUAGGAGUACAGAAAUCAAGAAACAUGGAUGAAUUUUUAUGAAAUGGUUUUCAUUGUGAGGUAUCCCACUUGACACACAACUCACUACUUAACACUUGAUUUACUUAUCCUUAACGGUUAUGCAAGUGGAUGUGCCACUGUGAAUCGCUUUCCUCUGUUUUGUUUCAAAAGGAAUCUCUGUAUUGAGGACAGGAACUUGCACAUAGGCCUGAAGAACAAUGCGCGCAGAUUGAAUUGUUCGAAUAUUUAUCCCGCUGGAGUCAUUAUUGGAAAAUCAUAUGCACGCGUCUAGGAGUACAGAAAUCAAGAAACAUGGAUGAAUUUUCAUGAACUGGUUUUCAUUGUGAGCUGCGUAAUGGACAAAACCGAGAGCGUCCCAUGUCGUCCCCGCCGGGAGACCUGGAAACCUUAGCUGUCGGGCAACCACUCCACGUCAACCCUUCGAGCCUCGCCGCUUCUGGGCAAAUACCGCACGGCAUUGAUGGGCCCUUACUUUUCCACUCACGAGGUGUGCUGGGGUGUUGCAUCUUUGUUGCUAUUUGCCUUUAUAUUAUGCUAUUCUAACAUGAUUAUAGUGAAUCGUAUUUGCUAUUUCAGAUAGUUCACAGGCUGAAAUCUCAGUUGACAACCUCAUCUUAUACAUGUGCACAAAAGCUUCUACUGUAAGAAAAAUAUGUUAAAACCAUUUACACCUAGGGGAAAGUCCAUAUAACAGUAGUAUUAAACGAGGAGUAUUUUGCUUGGAUACUGAUGUGGUGAGCUUUUAUACAUCAUAUAGUAUCUUGAUUCCUACUGGUUUACACAAAAUGAGUACUGACUGUUCAAAACUAAUUGCAAUACUAAGUUGAUGUUGAGAUAGCUAAAUUCAGGUGCAAGCGAUAGCUGCUAACAUCGGUGUUCAAGUUACCUAGAAGAGUUGAUGCAUUUCUAGAGAAGACAAUCUACAUAAUAGUGUUAACAAUAGUGUAAAUCACAGCGACUGGAUAAUUCAUGCCCUCUGUAAUGCAGAUCCAUCCACUAUGUAAUCCAGUAGGGAUGUGCAACAGCACCGCUCAAUGCGUAUCGGUGCCGUCUGGCUCAGUCCUGUAGACAUGUGUACCGCCUCGGUCCUGCUCCGUCCAAUGACCCCAUGUGGUCUCGCUCAACAUUAUUAACGAUG